UACGUAGGUGGCAAGCGUUGUCCGGAUUUACUGGGCGUAAAGGGAGCGUAGGUGGAUAUUUAAGUGGGAUGUGAAAUCCCCGGGCUUAACCUGGGGGCUGCAUUCCAAACUGGAUGUCUAGAGUGCAGGAGAGGAGAGUGGAAUUCCUAGUGUAGCGGUGAAAUGCGUAGAGAUUAGGAAGAACACCAGUGGCGAAGGCGACUCUCUGGACUGUAACUGACACUGAGGCUCGAAAGCGUGGGGAG
rnacentral:rRNA from 1 species